rnacentral:rRNA from 1 species
AGAGUUUGAUCCUGGCUCAGGACGAACGCUGGCGGCGCGCUUAACACAUGCAAGUCGAGCGAGAACCAGGGCUUCGGCCCUGGGGACAGCGGCGAACGGGUGAGUAACACGUGGAUAACCUGCCCUCGGCACCGGGAUAGCCCGGGGAAACUCGGAUUAAUACCGGAUAGCCCUUUCGGCUUUCGAGCCGGUCGGAAAAGGUAGCUUCGGCCUCUGGCCGAGGAUGGGUCCGCGGCGGAUUAGCUUGUUGGUGGGGUAAUGGCCUACCAAGGCACCGAUCCGUAGCUGGUCUGAGAGGACGAUCAGCCACACUGGGACUGAGACACGGCCCAGACUCCUACGGGAGGCAGCAGUGGGGAAUCUUGCGCAAUGGGCGAAAGCCUGACGCAGCGACGCCGCGUGAGGGAGGAAGGCCUUCGGGUUGUAAACCUCUUUCAGGAGGGACGAAGCUACUCGGGUGAAUAGCCCAGAGGGUGACGGUACCUCCAGAAGAAGCCCCGGCUAACUACGUGCCAGCAGCCGCGGUAAUACGUAGGGGGCAAGCGUUGUCCGGAUUUACUGGGCGUAAAGAGCGUGUAGGCGGCCAAACAGGUCCGUUGUGAAAACUGGAGGCUCAACCUCCAGACGUCGACGGAAACCGUGUGGCUAGAGUCCGGAAGAGGAGAGUGGAAUUCCUGGUGUAGCGGUGAAAUGCGCAGAUAUCAGGAAGAACACCAAUGGCGAAGGCAGCUCUCUGGGACGGUACUGACGCUGAGACGCGAAAGCGUGGGGAGCGAACAGGAUUAGAUACCCUAGUAGUCC